CAGAUUAUUUCUGGAGUUCAAGCACUUGUGAUUUGGAUAAUGGCAACAUUCAAUCUCAGAGAAGUAUCUUGUCUCACUUGGUCUUCUUCUUUGGAAUGAAAGUAGGCUUCAAUGGAUUGGAAGUGAAAAAUCUAGCAAGCCUAACCAACAAAAACGUGAAUCCAGACUGAAUUGGAAUGCAACUUACGAAUGUUUGCUUGGGACUAGAGAACCUUUCCCCAAGUCCAUACCUUUAUCUGUCUGGUGAGCCAAGAGCCUGUGUUGUUUAAUGACACCAUUCGAGCCAAUAUUGAAUAUGGCAAAGGUGAGGAUGCAACAGAGGCAGAAGU